CGGAAAAUAAAAAUGGGCGACA
rnacentral:piRNA from 1 species